AUUGAACGCUGGCGGCAGGCCUAACACAUGCAAGUCGAGCGGAGCGGCGGACGGGUGAGUAAUGCCUAGGAAUCUACCUGGUCGUGGGGGAUAACGUCCGGACACGGGCGCUAAUACCGCAUACUAUCAGAUGAGCCUAGGUCGGGUUAGCUAGUUGUUGGGGUAAAGGCCCACCAAGGCGACGAUCCGUAACGGGUCUGAGAGGAGGAUCAGUCACACUGGAACUGAGACACGGUCCAGACUCCUACGGGAGGCAGCAGUGGGGAAUAUUGCACAAUGGGCGAAAGCCUGAUCCAGCCAUGCCGCGUGGGUGAAGAAGGUCUUCGGAUUGUAAAGCACUUUAAGUUGGGAGGCGUUACCAACAGAAUAAGCACCGGCUAACUCCGUGCCAGCAGCCGCGGUAAUAC
rnacentral:rRNA from 1 species